GAGGGCAUAGCUCAGUGGUAGAGCGUGUACUUAGUGUGCAUGAGGUCCUGGGUUCAAUCUCCAGUACCUCCA
rnacentral:tRNA from 1 species